AUUGAACGCUGGCGGCAUGCCUUACACAUGCAAGUCGACCGGUAACAGGUCUUCGGAUGCUGACGAGUGGCGAACGGGUGAGUAAUACAUCGGAACGUGCCUAGUAGUGGGGGAUAACUACUCGAAAGAGUGGCUAAUACCGCAUGAGAUCUACGGAUGAAAGCAGGGGAUCGCAAGACCUUGUGCUACUAGAGCGGCUGAUGGCAGAUUAGGUAGUUGGUGGGAUAAAAGCUUACCAAGCCGACGAUCUGUAGCUGGUCUGAGAGGACGAUCAGCCACACUGAGACUGAGACACGGCCCAGACUCCUACGGGAGGCAGCAGUGGGGAAUUUUGGACAAUGGGCGCAAGCCUGAUCCAGCAAUGCCGCGUGCAGGAUGAAGGCCUUCGGGUUGUAAACUGCUUUUGUACGGAACGAAAAGCCCCGGGUUAAUACCCUGGGGUCAUGACGGUACCGUAAGAAUAAGCACCGGCUAACUAUGUGCCAGCCGCCGCCGUAA
rnacentral:rRNA from 1 species